rnacentral:rRNA from 1 species
AUGAACGCUAGCUACAGGCUUAACACAUGCAAGUCGAGGGGAAACGACAUCGAAAGCUUGCUUUUGAUGGGCGUCGACCGGCGCACGGGUGAGUAACGCGUAUCCAACCUGCCCAUCACUUGGGAAUAACCUUGCGAAAGUAAGACUAAUACCCAAUGACAUCCCACGAAGACAUCUGAAUGGGAUUAAAGAUUUAUCGGUGAUGGAUGGGGAUGCGUCUGAUUAGCUUGUUGGCGGGGUAACGGCCCACCAAGGCAACGAUCAGUAGGGGUUCUGAGAGGAAGGUCCCCCACAUUGGAACUGAGACACGGUCCAAACUCCUACGGGAGGCAGCAGUGAGGAAUAUUGGUCAAUGGGCGAGAGCCUGAACCAGCCAAGUAGCGUGCAGGAGGACGGCCCUAUGGGUUGUAAACUGCUUUUAUAAGGGAAUAAAGUGGGUCUCGUGAGACUUUUUGCAUGUACCUUAUGAAUAAGGACCGGCUAAUUCCGUG